UUGAAAGGGAAACGAUUGAAGUCAGUCGUGCUGGCGCGAAAUCAACCCUCUCGUCGAGAGGUCACAUGGCGCGGCGAGCCUCAAAACCGUCGCGAAGCGUGAACUCUUGGUGAAAUGGAGCACUUUCGUGUCCGCUGGUUAACAUCAAUUUCGAUCGUCAUAAAAGGGCUGGAGGGAUGUGGCCCCUUCGGGAGUGUUAUAACCUUUAGCGGAAUGUGGUGGUCGGGAUUGAGGAUUGCAACGAAUACCUUUAGGGCUGUUCCACCUGGCUUCUCAUCGGUACCCUGGUGACGACAGCUUGCUGACGUUGUUAGGAUUCGCCUUCGAACAGGUUAGAGUGUGGGCAAAUUCGUUAAGGAUGUUGACGUA
rnacentral:rRNA from 1 species